UGCGCCAUCGUCUAACUGGCAGGACGCGAGGGUUUGGUUCUCGAAAUGCACGUUCGAUCCGUGCUGGCGCAUCCA
rnacentral:tRNA from 1 species